AUCACUCUUUUUCUUAUCUACUCCAGGAGUAGCGAUCUCCGGCGCGGCAUAGCCUUUUGAACCAACAAGCUUUCCAGCUGCCUGUUUCAGCCAAGACAGAAAUACACAGUUAGCUUAUCAACGAGAACUACGGUAGUUAAGAAGAUUAAUUCAGUGUUACACCCGCAAAAUGUCAACGAAGUUGAAAUUAAAGAAACCAAAAAGGAAAAAGAAUCAAGAGAGAGUCCAUGAAAGGGCCAUUUAGCUUUCCCCAAGAGAUUGAGAAAGGGCAAAAAUUUAUACCUG